GUCUCCCUGAAAUAACCUGCCCAUGAUGAACUUCACCAAAAUAGCUACUGCAUAUGUUAAUCUGUUUGUAAUUUUAUUCUUUCAGAACACUCAAAACUAGCAUCUGAUGAAUGCCUACAUUCAGUCCACAAAGCAACAAUUGUCUGAACUAAGCCCUGCAAAGGAUGAAUAGAGACAGAACAACAGAACUUAAUAACUGAUGAUGGAGUUGGAGGAGAGGAAAGGAUCAAGCUGAUGUCCAGGUUUCAGGGGAACUGAUGGUGCCAUUCACUGAUACAGGGAACAUAAGCAGAGGUUCAGACGUAAAAGUGACACAUCAACAGCUGAACUAACUUGAAAACGCAAGUCAGGAGUCACACUCUAAAUACAAAGGUCUUUCAACUAAACCUACUAAAUAAGCUGCCUUACUGGUCCAAAAACCACUCCACAAAGCCAUAUAUAUAUAUUUGAAGACAGAUAUUAAGUCCUUAUUUCUAGCUAAAUUAAGUCACUAUCUUUUGAUUUUCCUUAAGGGUCCUAUUUUUCCCUCCACUUUAAUGAGACCAAUCACUCUUCUAAAAACUAAGCCAGUUCCUUCAAAUUUAACAUGUAAUGAUUAAAAAGAAAUGGCUGGGUUCCGUUCCAAGAUAGCUGAAUAGGAACAGCUCUGGUCUGCAGCUCCCAGAGUGAUCGACGCAGAAGACGGGUGAUUUCUGCAUUUCCAACUGAGGUACCUGAUUCAUCUCACUGGGACUGGUUGGACAGUGGGUGCAGCCCACGGAGGGCGAGGUGAAGCAUGACAGGGCGUCGCCUCACCCAGGAAGCGCAAUGGGUCGGGGGAUUUUCCUUUCCUAGCCAAGGGAAGCUGUGACAGACUGUACAUGGAAAAUCAGUAAACCCUGCCCAAACACUGUGCUUUUCCCCCAGUCUUAGCAAAUGGCAGACAAGGAGAUUGCUCUCCCAUGCCUGGCUCAGCGGGUCCCAUGCCCAUGCAGCCUUGCUCACUGCUAGCGCAGCAGCUGGAGAUCGACCUGCAAGGCUGCAGCCUGGCGGGGGGAGGGGCGUCUGCCAUUGCUGGGGCUUGAGUAGGUAAACAAAGCAGCCAGAAAGCUCGAAAUGGGUGGAUCCCACCGCACCUCAGCAAGGCCUACUAUCUCUAUACACUCCACCUCUGGGGGCAGGGCAUAGGCUGAACAAAAGGCAGCAGACAACUUCUGCAGAUGUAGACGUCCCUGUCUGACAGCUCUGAAGAGAGCAGUGGUUCUCCCAGCAUGGUGUUUGAGUUCUGAGAAUGGAUAGACUGCCUCCUCAAGUGGGUCCCUGAACCCCGUGUAGCCUAUUGGGGGAACCAGCCCCCAGUAUUUCAAUGUAGUUUCUUUUCUAUUUUCUCUAAGUGUUGGCCAGUCUAAGAAAUAAAGAGAAAGAGUAC